rnacentral:rRNA from 1 species
AACGAACGCUGGCGGCAUGCCUAACACAUGCAAGUCGAACGAGACCUUCGGGUCUAGUGGCGCACGUGUGCGUAACGCGUGGGAACCUGCCCUUAGGUUCGGAAUAACUCCCCGAAAGGGGUGCUAAUACCGGAUAAUGUCUUCGGACCAAAGAUUUAUCGCCUUUGGAUGGGCCCGCGUUGGAUUAGCUAGUUGGUAGGGUAAAAGCCUACCAAGGCGACGAUCCAUAGCUGGUCUGAGAGGAUGAUCAGCCACGCUGGGACUGAGACACGGCCCAGACUCCUACGGGAGGGAGCAGUGGGGAAUAUUGGACAAUGGGCGAAAGCCUGAUCCAGCAGUGCCGCGUGAGUGAUGAAGGCCUUAGGGUUGUAAAGCUCUUUUACCCGGGAUGAUAAUGACAGUACCGGGAGAAUAAGCUCCGGCUAACUCCGUG